UACGGAGGGGCUAGCGUUGUUCGGAAUUACUGGGCGUAAAGCGCACGUAGGCGGACUGUUAAGUCGGGGGUGAAAUCCUGGGGCUCAACCUCAGAAUUGCCUCCGAUACUGCAGUCUCGAGUGCGGGAGAGGUGAGUGGAAUUCCCAGUGUAGAGGUGAAAUUCGUAGAUAUUGGGAAGAACACCAGUGGCGAAGGCGGCUCACUGGCCCGUAACUGACGCUGAGGUGCGAAAGCG
rnacentral:rRNA from 1 species